rnacentral:rRNA from 1 species
GAUGAACGCUAGCGGCAGGCCUAACACAUGCAAGUCGAGGGGUAGGGUUAGCUUGCUAACUUGAGACCGGCGCACGGGUGCGUAACGCGUAUGCAAUCUACCUUGUACAGGGGGAUAGCCCAGAGAAAUUUGGAUUAAUACCCCAUGGUGUUAUGAUGUGGCAUCACAUUAUAAAUAAAGUUCCAACGGUACAAGAUGAGCAUGCGUCCCAUUAGCUAGUUGGUGUGGUAACGGCAUACCAAGGCAAUGAUGGGUAGGGGUCCUGAGAGGGAGGUCCCCCACACUGGUACUGAGACACGGACCAGACUCCUACGGGAGGCAGCAGUGAGGAAUAUUGGUCAAUGGGCGCAAGCCUGAACCAGCCAUGCCGCGUGCAGGAUGACGGUCCUAUGGAUUGUAAACUGCUUUUAUACGGGAAGAAACACUCCUACGUGUAGGGACUUGACGGUACCGUAAGAAUAAGGAUCGGCUAACUCCGUGCCAGCCGCCGCAGUAA